GGUGUUUACAUUCAUGGAUUGUUUUUGGAUGGAGCUUCCUGGGACAGGAAGACCAAGAAACUUGAAGAAUCACAUCCUAAAGUUCUGUAUGACACCGUCCCCGUGAUGUGGCUAAAGCCAUGCAAAAAGUCAGACAUACCCAAACGACCAAGCUACGUUGCUCCACUGUACAAGACAAGCGAGAGGAGGGGCACACUCUCCACCACUGGCCACUCCACAAAUUUCGUGAUUGCCAUGAUUCUUCCCUCUGACCACCCCAAGGAACACUGGAUUGGACGGGGUGUGGCAUUGCUGUGCCAACUAAACUCAUAAUCUGAAGGUGGCAUCAUCUCUUGCAACUUCUUGUUAGAUUGAAUAAAACACAUUUUACUGUUUAAAUUUUGCUUUGGCUUAAAUAAACUUAACCUUC